rnacentral:rRNA from 1 species
GUCCACGCCCUAAACGAUGUCGACUAGUUGUUCGGAGGGUAAACCUUUGAGUAACGUAGCUAACGCGUGAAGUCGACCGCCUGGGGAGUACGGCCGCAAGGUUAAACUCAAAGGAAUUGACGGGACCCGCACAAGCGGUGGAUGAUGUGGAUUAAUUCGAUGCAACGCGAAAACCUUACCUACCCUUGACAUGUCAGGAACUUUCCAGAGAUGGAUUUGUGCCCCGAAAGGGAACCUGAACACAGGUGCUGCAUGGCUGUCGU